AUGGGGCAGACUCAACGUUCAGGCUGUGGAGGGAGCUCAGCAUGCUGGAAGGUCUGUUGGAUGGAGCAUUUCCUCUUCCCAGAGUCCUGCUGCAGCAAGAACUGCUGGUGUCUGGUUUACCUCCUAGGACUUGUACGGCCCAUUAGUGGGGUGCCACCAUUGCUGAGCAGUGCUGGUGAUGCAGUAAAGAUGUUUCAGCAAGAUUCAGUGCUUGAAUCCAUUCACAGAUGCUUCAGAGGAAGCUGCAAGACAGUCCCUAUGUGGGCUACAAUGCCGGAAGCAAUACUUUGCAUUCAGGAAGUUGCUCGUUUUGUGAUUAGCAUCGCCAUGGCCCUAGAGGGAAGGGAUGGCACUGUCUGGACAGACUUCAGAUCUGCUGAGGGAACUUGCACCUGAUACUCAGCUUGAGAUCCAGUCUACAAGUAGAAGAGUUGCUGACUCCAAUGAUGACUUUGGGUUUAGGGUCCAAGAGAUGGUGUGCUGUGUGGGGCCACAGAGUCAAAUGAGAGUGUUCAGAAGUACGGUUCACCCAGUAGGUAUGACAUGAGUUUCCAGCCUCAGUUUGACAGGGGAAUGUACAGGUAAGAUUAACUUUAUCAGAUUAUUGUUUAUCCUCUGCAAUGCAUUCAUUUUUUUAUCUAGAGGAUACCAUCCUUAUAUCACACUGCCCAACUCUAUGUAUUCC
rnacentral:lncRNA from 1 species